GUCAUUAUGGCCGAACGGUUACGGCGUCUCAGCUAUGUAGGGGAAUCAUGAGCACUAGCGGGGAGGUCUCGGUUCGAAUCCGAGUGAUGACA